UCUCAAGAAAGUUGCGGCAGCUUCAGUCGUACCUCACUAUGGACCAACGCCAGGACAAGGCCCUAGCAGAUCGAGUGUUAAUGUUAUCGGAUUUGAUGAGCACCCACCGGAGAUGGAACAAUCUCUUCACACAGACAUCGAUUCCAGAGUGAAAGCUGACAUCAUUCUAGGAAAUGAACUAAGGAAAUAUAAUGCGUUGGUAGAUUCAGGCAGUGCGUGUAUUAGUGACAAUGCUUUCGACAACAGUGUUUGGGCCAACCGCCAUUUAAACUUUUCUCUAAAAGUCGGCGGCGAUGUUAAUUGAAAGAGUAAAAAGUUUAUUUGCCAAAAAGGAUGAAAAUGCAUAAGGAGCACGAUAUACACCUCAAAUUGGGAGAUUCAACUGCGAACCACAGAAAUGCUUCAAAAGGAACGUGCAGCCCCUUCGAAACAUGCCAAAAAUAACUGAUGAGAGAGCAGCAUAUCCUCUGGACAUGGACAAAGCGUCUGCAUCAUACAAAAAUCGUUUGAAAGCUUUUUUUAAAUUUUACCUACCAAACACUUGUGGAGAAAA